rnacentral:sRNA from 1 species
AGGCCGGUGCCCUGCGGGGACGCCCAGUGCAGUCCAGCCCCGCGCAGCCCAGCCCUGCCCUGCCCUGCCCUGCGCCCGGGGCGCGCCCGCCGCGCCGCAUCCAUGUUCGAAUGCAGCCUCGCUCUGUCGCCCAGGGUGGAGUGCAGUGGCACAAUCUUGUCUCACUGCAACCUCCGCCUCCUGGGUUCAAGCGAUUCUUCUGCCUCAGCCUCCCGAGUAGCUGGGAUUACAGACAGUGAGCCCAGUGCGGGCACAGGAACAACUCGGUGGGGACGUGUUGGCUGACCGUGGGACCUGAUUUACCUGGGAUUAUCACCACACCCCACUCUGGCCGGAGCACGCCAAGCAGCUCCCCAUCGCUCCGGAAACGGCUGCAGCUCCUGCCCCCAAGCCGGCCCCCACCUGAGCCAGAACCAGGCACCAUGGUGGAGAAGGGAUCAGAUAGCUCCUCAGAGAAGGGUGGGGUGCCUGGGACCCCCAGCACCCAGAGCCUAGGCAGCCGGAACUUCAUCCGCAACAGCAAGAAGAUGCAGAGCUGGUACAGUGU